UAGCCAUCCAGAGCGGCCGAGAGAUCUGGCUUGUUGACGCCGCAGCAACCCUUUAGCGGGUGCUAAUGCCAGUUUCGAUGGGAG
rnacentral:ncRNA from 2 species